UUCAGGGCAGCAACCCAACAACAGGUUGUCCGAUUCAUCUGAAAAUUUCAGGACAGAUAGAUCUUGACCUGAUAAACACUUUUACCACAUGUCAGAUUUGCUCUAAAUGCUUUGGUUUUUGAGUUAUAAGCAAAAAACUGCAUUUUACCCAUAUGUUCUAUUUUUAGCCAUGGCGGCCAUCUUGGUUGGUUGGCCGGGUCAUGCCACACAUUUUUUAAACUAGAUAUCCCAAAGAUGAUUGUGGCCAAGUUUGGAUUAAUUUGGCCAAGUAGUUUCAGAGGAGAAGAUUUUUGUAAAAGAUUACUAAGAUUUACGAAAAUGGUUAAAAUUGACUAUAAAGGGCAAUAACUCCUAAAGGGGUCAACUGACCAUUUUGGUCAUGUUGACUUAUUUGUAAAUCUUACUUUGCUGAACAUUAUUGCUGUUUACAGUUUAUCUCUAUCUAUAAUAAUAUUCAAGAUAAUAGCCAAAAACAGCAAAAAUUCCCUAAAACAAGAAGUAAUUGUAACAGGAUGCUGUUACGAAGUCUCCCAAACAAAGCUCCCAUUACUCGCCAUUCAUAUGGUCCCAUAUUCAUUUGAUUUGAUUUUUUGUCCCAUACAAGAAUAUAAUAUGGCUUAAGGGUGGGGAUCUCCACCAUUUACAAAGUAUUUAAACAAGAAGGGGUGGUGGUGACCCCCAGGUACUUUACGUACAUUUCAUUUGAUUUGUUUUAUUGUCCCAUACAAGAAUAUAUAUGGUUUAGGGUUGAUGAUGUUAACCGUUUACAAGUUUCAAACAAGAGGGGUGGUGUGACCCCCUCAGGACUUCCCUUUUAUUUCAUUUCAUUUGUUUUAUUGUCCCUACAAAAAAAUAUAUGGUUUAGGGGUGGGGAUGUUGAUCGUUUACAAGUUUUCAAACAAGAGGGGGUGGGGGACCCCUCGACUUCCCUUUUAUUUCAUUUUAUUUGUUUUAUUGUCCCUACAAGAAAUAUAUAUGGUUUAGGGGUGGGGAUCUGGACUGUUUACAAGAUAAUAGCACAUUCUCAAAUUGAACGGGGUAAGGGUGACCCCCAGGAACUCCCGUUUAAUUUCAUUUGAUUAGUUUUAUUGUCCCAUACAAGAAUAUAUAUGGUUUAGGGGUGGGGAUGUUGACCGUUUACAAGUUUUCAAACAAGAGGGGGUGGGCUGACCCCCUAGGGACUUCCAUUUUAUAUCAUUUCAUUUGUUUUAUGUCCCUACAAGAAUAUAUAUGGUUUAGGGUGGGGAUCUGGACCGUUUACAAGAUAAUAGCACAUUCUCAAAUUGAACGGGGGGGGAUGACCCCGGGGACUUCCCUUUAAUUUCAUUUCAUUUUUUUUAUCGUCCCAUUCAAGAUAUAUAUGGUUUAGGGUGGGGAUCUGGACCCGUUUACAAGAUAAAAGCAUAUUCUCAAAUUUAGGGGUGGGGAUGACCCCUAGGGACUCCCCUAUAUUUCAUGUGAUUUGUUUUAGUGUCCAUAAUCAUUUUCUGAAGACUGCAUGUGUCUAUCACUUACAGUUUUCAAGUUAUAUUCAUUUGAAAAUUUUAGGAAAAUAAAAUCCCAUAGGGUUCUAUAGUAAACCCCUCCCUCCUUUCUACCUCCCAACAAUACCUUAAUAGACCACAAUGCACAACGAAAGGUUGAUGGCUCACCUGACAUAUUAGUCUACCAUUCUAUGAAACCCUAAGUAAAUCUGACAAGCGGUUUUAGAGAAACGCUGCGGACAAGUUCAUUUUAAAAGUGGCGGAAGAAAAAGAAGAAAAAGAAGAAGAAUUAAAAACCAAUUGUUCAGAGAACAAUUGAAGGUCUUUCCACCAGUAAAUAUCUAUUUUGAUAUUAAAAUAUUAAAAAUCAGUCUAAAAUGUCAGUUCCUAUGGCUUAUGAUGUAAGAUAUGAUUUUAAGCAAAGGUCAUAAUCUAGAACGUCAAAUUUACCUCUGACCUUGACCUCAAUUUCAAGGUCACAAACUAAGGAUCUCAAAUCAAAAAGACCCUAGGUCUCUAAUAUAUAUGGUAAAUAAGUUAUAUCACUUUACGCAUAAUUUUAUAUAUGAUAGGGGCUAAAACUCCUGUUUAUUGACUACGCACCCUUUCAACCAAAAUUAUUAAGUAAUGACAUGUCGCAACUAACAAUUUAGUAAAAAUAAUUUGUCGAUAUCUUAUAAGGUUAAUGAAAAUUAGUGAAAAUAAGCCAAAAAUCAAAAAAUUUUGAAUAUGACCUUGACUUUGACCUUGACCUAAUUUUCAUUUUUUUGGACCAAGGAUCUAAAAUCAAAAGACCCUAGGUCUCUAAUAUGUAUGGUUAAUAAGUUAUAUCACUUUACGCAUAAUUUUAUGUGAUAGGGGCUAAAAACUCCCAUUUAUUGUCUACGCACCCUUUCAACCCAAAAUUAUUAUGUUACGACAUGUCGCAACUAACAAUUUAGUAAAAUAUUUAUCGAUAUCUUAUAAGGUUAAUGGAAAUGAGUGAAAAUAAGCCAAAAUCAAAAUUUAGAAUAUGACCUUGACCUUUGACCUUGACCUAAUUUUCAUUUUUUUGGACCAAAGACCUCAAAUCAAAAGACUCUAGGUCUCUAUCACUUAUGGUUUUCCAGUUUAAAAUACAUUUCAAAAUUUCAAAUACAAAAGGGGAACUAACUCUCAUAUGGAAUCUCUAUACGGCUUCGUCAAAAUGAAAACAGAACAUCCUGAGGAUAUAACGAGCAAUUUGGUAAAUAAAUUUGUUGUAAUCUUUUACGGUUGCGAAGGGAGUAGUGGCCACAAGAAAAACAGUGUUUGGGAGAUAACUCUUACAAGUAAAGUAUUUGUUACGCGGUUGAAAAUUUUUAAAGCGUAUAUACUAUACGAUAUCAUAUUCCAAAUAUCUAAGCGACAUCUUUGAAACAUCAACAAUACGCAAGAAAAAAUUUAGGCGGAAGAAUAAAAAAAAAAAUAAUAAUAAUAAUCAGAACAAAAGCAAUAGGUCUUUCCACGGAAAAGUGGAAAGACCUAAUAAUAAAAAUAAUAAGAACUGAGCAAAAACAAUAAGUCUCCAAACUUUGUUUGGGAGACUUAAUUACCAGUUCAGGGGCAGCAACCCAAUAACGGGUUGUCGGAUUCAUCUGAAAAUUUGAGCGCAGAUAGAUCUUGACCUGAUAAACAAUUUUACCCCAUGUCAGAUUUGCUCUAAAUGCUUUGGUUUUUGAGUUAUAAGCCAAAAACUGCAUUUUACCCUAUGUUCUAUUUUUAGCCAUGGGGGCCAUCUUGGUUGGUUGCGGGUCACGCCACACAUUUUUUAAACUAGUACCCCAAUGAUGAUUGUGGCCAAGUUUGUUUAAUUUGGCCCAGUAGUUUCAGAGGAGAAGAUUUUUGUAAAAGUUAACGACGACGGACGACGGACGCCAAGUGAUGGGAAAAGCUCACUUGGCCCUUCGGGCCAGGUGAGCUAAAAAUCAAUGUCCAUAACUUAACAAAGUUGUCUCAUGCCAAUAAAAUAUCUAUAUAUUUUCCCCGGGCGCUAUAUUUUCUUCCCCGGGCGCUUUUUCUUCACCCGGGCGCAUUUUAGUAGGACCCAAAACAAGAAGAAAACUAGAGGCUCUAAAGAGCCUGUGUCGCUCACCUUGGUCUAUGUGAAUAUUAAACAAAGGAAGCAGAUGGUUCAUGACAAAAUUGUGUUUUGGGUGAUGGUGAGUGUGUUGUACAUCUUACUUUACUGAACAUUCUUGCUGCUUACAAUAUCUCUAUCUAUAAUGAACUUGCCCAGUAGUUUUCAGAGGAGAAGAUUUUUGGAAAGAUAACUAGAUUACGAAAAUGGUUAAAAAUGACUAUAAAGGCAAUACUCCUAAAGGGUCAACUGACCAUUUCGGUCAUGUUGACUUAUUUGUAGAUCUUACUUUGCCGACAUUUAUUGCUUUUACAGUUUAUCUCUAUCUAUAAAAAUAUUCAAGAUAAUAACCAAAAACAGCAAAAUUUCCUUAAAAUUACCAAUUCAGGGGCAGCAACCUAACAACGGGUUGUCCGAUUCAUCUGAAAAUUGCAGGGCAGAUAGAUCUUGACCUGAUUAACAAUUUUACUUCAUGUCAGAUUUACUUUAAAUGCUUUGGUUUUUGAGUUAUAUGUCAAAAACUGAAUUUUACCCCUAUGUUCUAUUUUUAGCCAUGGCGGCCAUCUUGGUUGUUUGGCCGGGUCACGCCACACAUUUUUUAAACUAGAUAUCCCAAUGAUGAUUGUGGCCAAGUUUAGUUUAAUUUGGCCCAGUAGUUUCAGAGGAGAAGAUUUUUGUAAAAGAUUACUAAGAUUUACAAAAAAUGGUUAAAAAUUGACUAUAAAGGGCAAUAACUCUAAAGGGUCAACUGACCGUUCAGUCAUGUUGACUUAUGUAAAUCUUACUUUGCUGAACAUUAUUGCUGUUUGCAGUUUAUCUCUAUCUAUACUAAUAUUCAAGAUAAUAACCAAAAACAGCAAAAUUUCCUUAAAAUUACCGAUUCAGGGCAGCACCCAACAACAGGUUGUCCGAUUCAUCUGAAAAUUUCAGGGCAGAUAGAUCUUGACCUGAUAAACAAUUUUACCCAGUGUCAGAUUUGCUCUAAAUGCUUUGGUUUUUGAGUUAUAAGCCAAAAACUGAAUUUUACCCCUAUGUUCUAUUUUUAGCUGUGGCGGCCAUCUUGGUUGGUUGGCCGGGUCACGCCACACAUUUUUUAAACUAUCUAUCCCAAUGAUGAUUGUGGCCAAGUUUGGUUUAAUUUGGCCCAGUAGUUUCAGAGGAGAAGAUUUUUGUAAAAGAUUACUAAGAUUUACGAAAAAUGGUUAAAAAUUGACUAUAAAGGGCAAUAACUCCUAAAGGGGUCAACUGACCAUUUCGGUCAUGUUGACUUAUUUGUAAAUCUUACUUUGCUGAACAUUAUUGCUGUUUACAGUUUAUCUCUAUCUAUAAUAAUAUUCAAGAUAAUAACCAAAAACAGCAAAAAUUCCCUAAAACUACCAAUUCAGGGGCAGCAACCCAACAACGGGUUGUCGGAUUCAUCUGAAAAUUUGAGGGCAGAUAGAUUUUGACCUGAUAAACAAUUUACCCCAUGUCAGAUUUGCUCUAAAUGCUUUGGUUUUUGAGUUAUAAGCCAAAAACUGCAUUUUACCCCUAUGUUCUAUUUUUAGCCAUGGCGGCCAUCUUGGUUGGUUGGCGGGGUCACGCCACACAUUUUUAAACUAGAUACCCCAAUGAUGACUGUGGCCAAGUUUGGUUUAAUUUGGCCCAGUAGUUUCAGAGGAGAAGAUUUUUGUAAAAGUUAACGACGACGGACGACGACGACGACGACGACGACGGACGACGGACGACGGACGCCAAGUAAUAGGAAAAGCUCACUUGGCCCUUCGGGCCAGGUGAGCUAAAAAUGAGAUCAA
rnacentral:lncRNA from 1 species